AUUUGUCUCGGUGGGGGUUGGACGCUCUUCUUUCGUGCUCGUGCGGGAGAAUUGGAUUGUUUGUUUUGGUUAUCCACAUCCAUAUUUGUAAAUCAUUGCAAAUGUCAGGUGGAAGGUGUAAAGACAGUGCAACGUGCGUUUCCCUGCUGGGAAAAAAGUGAGUGAGUAAAGCAAUGCAGAAUUCGAGUGGAGAUGGUAACGGCCAAGAUUCACAACAUUACUCGCUGAACUUUCCUGUGAAUCCAAGUUCGGAGUUCUACCACAACUUGACAUCCUCAAGUUCGAGUGUGUCCAAUAUACCAGGUCUUCUGAGACUCGCACCAACCUCCCCAAUGGGUAUGCCAGUGGUAUCCAGUGGAAUUCAGACUGUUGCGGGGGCCAGCCAUGGUUAUGUGGUUCCAGGCAGCAACCCCUUGAAAAGAACUGCCCAAGAUGCAGGGUUCUCUGACCAGAGACAGUGUGAGAUGCCAUCAUCUGAUGAUGAUGGCUCCAUAUCGGACAAAUUCUCAAUACCCCAAACAUCAGUGUCGCCGACUGAGGGCCAGCCAAAGAUAUCGGAUGCCUCGCCAGUGGUGAAGAAAACCAAGGGCAGGGUGAAGAUUAAGAUGGAGUUCAUCGACAACAAGCUAAGAAGAUACACUACAUUUUCCAAGAGAAAGACUGGAAUCAUGAAAAAGGCCUACGAGCUAUCCACUCUGACGGGCACCCAGGUGAUGCUCCUCGUGGCCUCAGAGACUGGCCACGUCUACACGUUCGCCACGCGCAAACUGCAGCCCAUGAUCACCUCCGAGGCUGGCAAGGCGCUGAUCCAGACGUGCCUCAACUCGCCGGACCCCUCGGCGUCGGCGCCCGGCACGGGCGAUCAGCGCAUGUCGGCCACCGGCUUCGAGGAGACUGAGCUCUGCUACAACAUCAACGAAGACGAGCAGAAAGAGGAAUACGAGGAGGACGGCGUCGAGGAGGUGGAGGAUGACGAACAGGAGCAGAAGCCCAGUAACGGCUUCUACGGCCACGCGCCGCAGCUGUCGGAGCCGUCGGGAGCCGUGUCGGUGGCGACGGUGAUGCCGGCCGCCGUCAGCCUCACGCCGGUCAGGGCAGUCGGCACGGUGUCCAGUCUGAGCGGCGGCACGAUACCCACCGCUCCCGUGGUGACGGCCAGCAGCGCGCACACGCUGCUCACCACGCAGCUGCUCUCACAGAUCAAACAGAGUCAGCAGCUGGCGCUCCACCUGGCGGCCAGCUCGGCGCAGCAGCCCAGCUCGCUCCACCUGGCGGCCAGCUCGGCGCAGCAGCCCAGCUGCUCGUCCGGGGACGGACCGCGGCUCGUCAGCACGCCGAUGUCGUCCCUGUUCCAAACGUCUCCGGGCCUGCUGCAGUUACCCGAGGGACUGGUCCUCCUCAACAGCCCCUCAACGGUCAUACAGGCUGUAAAACCAGAUCAUGCGGGUGAGCCGCCGAACAGCUCCCAGCCCACCGAUCUCUCCAAGUCUCGCGUCUCCUCGUAAUGUACUCAGCUGCGGGGAUGGAGAUUUGGGGAGAAGACCUCAGGCCGUCGUCUGCCUGCGACUCUCCCUCACACAGUCUUGUGGUCAUGAGAGACGAAUCGGACAUCACUGGAAGGUACGCCCUGGCCUCCCUUCAGACUGUGGUCAGAAGACUGGAGUGGGCUGAACAUUACGGUGGAUACUGGUGACUGGUGUGGACGCGAUGUGUCCAGCUGGCCCGAGGGAGAGUAUCGAUGAUUUGAAGAGAGACUGAGAGGAGUGUAAUGCGAGGUAUUGCCGAAAUGGCGAGUUCAAACCUUGCAUAUCGUACUAGUCACGUCUUUUGUACGUAAUCAAUGUACGAAGUUUGUUGGUUGUUCAUUUGGUUGUACUAAAUUGAAUGGAGAGAAUGAAUAGCGUUAAGUGUUUUCAAAACGCUUCCUGAUUUAUGAUCGGUUUUAACGUAUUUUUGCUUACUUGUUCUGUUAACAAAAGCUAUCGCAAAGCGUUUAGCGCUGAAGUACGGCUUUACAUUGAAAGGACUGAUGACGAUAACUGCUUCCAGUACAGUAUUGCGUGUACCUGGUGAGUAAUAACUUAACCCCCAAUAAUCAGUUAAAGUGAAUGAUGUUUAAUGGGGCUGCCCCAUGGACUUACGACAAAUCAGUCUUUAUUUAUGCAGGGACUCUGUAUACAUCUGGUCAUCUACUAAUCCGACUAGAUAAGUCCUUUUCUACAAGCAGAUCAUGGCUGGCCCAAACCAAAGGUGCAUGUUGCUCAAUAUUCAGCCCUAUAUGAGGCACUGCGUGAACGGCUGCUGUCGUCUCUGUCGCGUUAUACACCGUACCGCUGGCUCAGUUUGCUUUGCUGAGCUGGCCUGUGGCGCCUGUUGUACCUCCCUUGCGGCGCGCGCGCAUGGAGUCUCGUGUAUUGGCCUGGUGCCUGUGCCGCUCGCGAGAGGCGAGUGGGCCGGCUAGCCCUGGGUCCAAUGGGCGUGGUGUGUGUGCCACGUGCCGCGUGUCCCGUGUGGUCUAACCCCGUGUGCCGUGGUGUGAGUGUGCUGAGUGGCAGGCAUCUCUCGCACCCGUCAUUAUGACACUCAUGCACCUAGUUUGUCAGACAGGGCAGAGCCCCAGUGUUGCAACCUGCGUGCGUUGUUACUUUUUGUAAUAAACUGACGUGCUGA
rnacentral:misc_RNA from 1 species